GAGGACCACACCCAUCGUAGCCCCUCUAUGAUGCAAGUCGUAAGAAGAAUAAAUAAUAACCAAAGUAAAAUCACACUCACAUUUAUGAAAUGAUUAAUUUUUUGAUAAAUGAACUAUAUAUUGUAAAAAAUUUCGGUUAAAGUACUGAAAAAAAAUUUUUUAUCAUAACGAGUUCUUAAGCUGCAAGUGAAUUAAGCGCUGAAAUUUUGUCAACGGUUAUUUUCAAGGACUGAAGGAUAUAAGCCAACCCGCUUGUCUCGAACAUUUCCCCUCCCAUCUUGCCUACUGGUUUGGAGGCUCAUUGUCCAGAAAUAUGAAAGAGUAGGAAUAAGAAAAUAGGCCUAACCCUCAACUAAAUGUGUUUAAAAAUCAGUCCUAUUUCUCCCAGUCCUAUUUCUACAGGAAGAAUAGGACUGGAAAUUUUCAGUCCUAUUUCUUCAGUCCUAUUUCGUUUCGGUCCUAUUUCACCGGCUACCCAAGUCAGUCAAGAACAAGGAACAAUUUAAGUGGUCAAGUCUCAAAUUCUAGAUUGUAUUCGAUAACACAUUUUUGUACUCGGAGUCUCGGACUGAGUGAGUUGACAGAAAAAGAAUCUUGGAAACAUUGUCAAAAACACGAAUCAUGGCGCCACCUACGAAACGUCUUCAACCCUUACAGCCUUACAACAAAACUGGAAACAGUGGAAAGGCACAUUUCAUUGAUACGUGGCUGGACAUAGUUGAAUUUAAACCUUGGCUCGAGAAAAAAAUAGUUUCAUCAUACGGGGGGUUCCAGGCCUACUGUGUUGUCUGUGAUGAAGUUAUAAGCAACCAUGAGUAAACAAUCCAAAACCAUAUGAAGAGUACCAAACAUCGUAAAAAAUUGCCACAAUACGACGACAUUAUUACGGCGAGACAAGCACUAUUGUCAUACAUUGGUCGGGCGAAAAAAGAAGACAUUUCAACUACGAAAUGGUAGUAUGCUCUCUGAUCGCGGAAAAAGUCUUUCGAUAAGUCUUGUCGACCAUUUGAUUCCGACAAUGCGGUGAUUGCAUCCGAAAGAUGGAAUACUAAAACAAGUGAAGCUUGGACGGACUAAGGCCACCAGUAUCAUCAAAGAUGGAUUUGGAAACGGUCUGAAGAAAAUGUUUGUGGAGAAACUUAGAACUACUUUCUUUUCAAUCGUGAUCGAUGAGACAACGGAUGUGACAGUCGAAAGCCAACUUGCUGUAAUGGUCCAUUACUGGGACUCUGCGGAGUUUAAACUAAUGGUAUAUGUCUUGGAUUUCGUCAUGUGUAAGGAAGCCACAACAGAUGGGCUAUCCGUUUCAGUUCUCGGCCUACUGGAUAAUUUGCACAUUCCAUCGGAUAACUUCAUCGGGUUCUCUGCCGACACAUGCAAUGUAAUUGUAAUGUUCGAAGUUAACCACUCUGUUUCAACAAUUUUAAAAGAAAGAAUAUCCGCCAUAGUGGUUGUCAAAUGUUCUUGCCAUUCCUGCCAUCUCGUAGCAAACUAUGCUUCGAAAGCUUUGCCGGAUCAGUUGGAAACAACUUUGCUCUAUAUCAAUCUAUAACAGUCGACUACACCCAUUGAAAAAAAUGCAGGUGCGAUUCGUCUCAAGGAUCGACUAGU